rnacentral:rRNA from 1 species
GAUGAACGCUGGCGGCGUGCCUAAUACAUGCAAGUCGAGCGAACAGACGAGGAGCUUGCUCCUCUGACGUUAGCGGCGGACGGGUGAGUAACACGUGGAUAACCUACCUAUAAGACUGGGAUAACUUCGGGAAACCGGAGCUAAUACCGGAUAAUAUAUUGAACCGCAUGGUUCAAUAGUGAAAGACGGGUUUGCUGUCUCUUAUAGAUGGAUCCGCGCCGCAUUAGCUAGUUGGUAAGGUAACGGCUUACCAAGGCAACGAUGCGUAGCCGACCUGAGAGGGUGAUCGGCCACACUGGAACUGAGACACGGUCCAGACUCCUACGGGAGGCAGCAGUAGGGAAUCUUCCGCAAUGGGCGAAAGCCUGACGGAGCAACGCCGCGUGAGUGAUGAAGGUCUUCGGAUCGUAAAACUCUGUUAUUAGGGAAGAACAAAUGUGUAAGUAACUAUGCACGUCUUGACGGUACCUAAUCAGAAAGCCACGGCUAACUACGUG